UACGAAGGGGGCUAGCGUUGUUCGGAAUUACUGGGCGUAAAGCGUGCGCAGGCGGCUUCUCAAGUCAGGGGUGAAAGCCCAGAGCUCAACUCUGGAAUUGCCUUUGAGACUGAGUGGCUUGAGUACGAGAGAGGUGAGUGGAAUUCCCAGUGUAGAGGUGAAAUUCGUAGAUAUUGGGAAGAACAUCAGUGGCGAAGGCGGCCUGCUGGGCUGUUGCUGACGCUGAGGCGCGACAGCGUGGGGAGCAAACAGGG
rnacentral:rRNA from 1 species